ensembl:lncRNA
AGAAAUUAUUUGUUCUUGGUUUCCUGAGGAAGAGACAAUAAAUAUAGGAACCUGGAAUAAAGAUGAAGAAAGACUUCAAAAUUAUUAUGAUGUACAUGGACCAGCCAGGGAAUUAAGAUUUGUACACUGUACAGGGUCGUUUUGUGUCAACAUGUCACAAACCUUGGAAGAAAGACUAUCCGUCAAGGACCUGCCUUCUUCAGAUUUCUUCCCUGUCUUUUUGAAACAUCUAAAUCCUGAAUAUAAGAUGUCUUGUCUCCAUACCUAAAGCUUGAUUUUCCCUGUGUUCUUCACUGAUGCUAGAUGUUUCUCAAAAUAGUUUUCAUCUUAAGUUCAUUCACGAUUGAGAUGGGGAAUGAAGGGAAGCUAUCCCUGGAAGAUCUUGGGCUUGCUAGCCUGACCUACACAGACUCCUAUGGAAGGUGGGAGUGGACUGAUGCUUGGCCAGGCCUCUUCGAGAUACUUCCAAGGAGCUCUGUAUGCUGGGCCCAGAGAAAUCCAUAUACCCUUUGUCGUGUGCAACAACUAUAGAAGAGGAAGAAGCCCCUGGAACAUAUAACUAUAAUGAAUUGGCCUCCAAGUUUGUGACUCUGGGUGUCUUUCAUUUUUCAAGCAGGUAUAUUUUGUACUUAGUCAUUUUAAAAAAAAUACAAAUUGAAUAAUGGUCACCAGAGAAGUAAGUACUGUUCGACAUGCUGGGGCAUAAUCAUACGGAAGAAGUUAGCCUUGAUCUCGAAGUACCUGAAGUCUUAAAACAUCGCAG